rnacentral:lncRNA from 1 species
ACAAAGUCUCCAUACCAAGAGUUCACCGAUUUGCUGUCAGCUAAGCCCACUGCGAAAAUUGCCUAUAUAGAGGACUCUGCUCCUGAGAGGGUUGAGGCCUAAGUUUUGCUAGUUGUUUAUGAAAUACUAGAUAAACUGUUUGACGUUUGGUCUUUCUUUUGAGUACUGCCAAGGUGUUCUGUUUCUUGAUAUACUUGAUGGUUUUAUUUGUAGCACAUCAUUGAAUUUGGUGUCCUUUUGGAGUUGAUUGCAGAAUCAAUUAUGUGAUGCAGCUUGUCCAUUUUUAGUUAAUUAUUACGAGUUCUGUGCAUAAGUUCAUGGCCAGUGAGCGUACACAGAAGGGGGUGGUAUAUUCUGCUGUUAUCCGUUUCUCAAGGAUGAUUCUCCUUCUACCACUGUUGCAUUCCUUUGCAGUUUCCUGUUGCACAGCAAAUAUGACGGUGCAGGCUGUCUCUUAGCCAAUAAGAUCUUGCGUUAAUGCCAAUUUAGUAAUCUUCCAUUGAAUUGAUUCUUGUAGAUGCUUUUUUUUUUUCCCCUAAUUUUUACUAGUGUAGCGUGGAAAUUGCCUUGCAAGAACUAGUGAAACUGCAAAAGGGAUGCUCUGAAUAGUAGAGGCGCCAAAGGUCUUGGCAUGGAGGAUCCAUGCUUGAAUAUAAAUGCAAGAGCUGCAUUUAAGAUUAUCGAGUACAUCAGCGAAACAUAGAAGCAUAUUUACAAAAGCAUGUAGCUAAGUCAACAUGGUUUUGUGGUCUACUGUGUUGGCAAGUUCUCAUUGGCUUCAUUGAUGGUUGUGGCACUCCCUCUCUUAACCAGAAAAGGAGAAAAGAAAAGGGGGAAAAAAAGAAAAAGAAGAAUGGAAAUUUGUUAACAUUUCUCCGAAGGCUGGACUGAUCAAAAUUCAAGUGGUAGAUUUUUGUAAACUUUCAGGCUACUUCGAGUGUGUGUAAUGCAGAUAAUGAAUGCACAAGCUUCAGCCCACAAAAGUAUGGGAGAGGACAACAACACAAAGGGAAUCAAUCAAAUUCUUGCCUAAAUUGGAAAUUCAGCUUCAAGAAGCAAGAAAAUGAGCCCAGACUCGUACCCACGGGACUCUGCUAAGCACAUCCACUAGUCUUUUCUAGCAUUUGUUCUGAUCUUUGAUUCAUAAACACUUAAACGAACCCCCAGCUAAGCCCAGUCCCAGAUGUCUGCAAGACUCAUUUAUACACAUGAACCUGCAUUUGUACUUAAAUAAAUAAUUUUGUUAUUUGAGUAUUACUAACAUUUUUUUACUAGAUAACUAAUGCUCAAUUUAGAUUAACUUGGAACUCAGACUGCAUUAUUAUUAUUGUUGUUGUUGUUGCUGCUACUAUUACUACUACUGUUUUAGUCUACUGCAACAUAAAUUUGAUAUCUUAUAAUUUUUAUUUUUUUUUUGUUUAUUGUAGAAUAGAUCAUAAUCAAGUGCUCAGACUCAUGGUUUUUAAAUAUGGUUAUCGUCUUUUAGGGAAUGAGCUUGGAAAUAGGUCAUUUGGUCUAGAUAAAUGUAAUGAUUCUGCAUUCAGUCAAAUGCUAUCUACCCAUUGAUAUGGGGAUGCCUGCGGUAUGUAAGAUUGUAAGGUAAUACUAAUGGCCAACGUAAUUAUGAGCGGAUAUUGAAUAUGAGCCAAUUGUUUCCUGAGGCUUUCCUCCUGUGAAACCAAAUCACGACCUUCGUCUUGGAGUACAAUAAGUUAUGUCACUUUAUUACCUAGAGCAGUCUCAGCCUCAUCAACAUCGGCCACCAGCUGGUUAAAUUCAUCAACAAUAAUUUUGCCAGUGACAAUUAGUUUUUGGUUAUUCAGCAGACUCUUGGCAUAAUUAAUCCCAGUUACAGGAAAAAAAAAAAGAGAAGAUAGAAGAAUGUCAAUUCUGAUAGAGGCAGAUAAAGCAGCAUGCAAGUAAAGUGCCUGAUUUACCAAAACAGCCUUAACUCGAGCAAGUUGAAGCUCAGACAAGAUCUGAAAGGCUUCAUUGAAAGUUAUGCUGCUUUCCUUUCCAGACUUAGAGGAAGAUGCAAAAAAAGAAGACCUUUCCCCGAGAAACUUUGUCAAGUUUCUGCAAAAGAUCUAUAAUAUCCCAUACGGGGGAUCUGGGCUUAAGAAAGUGUCUUUUGAAAGGAUACCAGAGCCUGAGGAAGCAUGUUUGGCCACAGCAGUUCCUAAUGCCUAUAAAGGGGAAGAAGUGAAGAGGGGAAGUUGGAAAAAUCAAAAUACAUGACUGAGUAAAGAGGCUUGAGCAUUUUGAGAUUCUGAUUCAUCAGUCUUUUUCAACAACGUUCUGAACUUGGAUGUCAGAAUCCUCUUCCCAUGGUUCGUCGUCCAGAUUGUGUUUCGGCUUGGAUUAAGAUCUUGUGUGGUAUGUAGUGUGACCAGCAUCCUUAUGAGAAGGGGCUAAUUGCUUUUGCCCUAACCCUUUCCAGGCCAGGCAAACACAAAGGGUAGUUUUCUAAAACCAGAUACUGUUAUCUAGGAAGGGAACAGACUAGCAAAAACCGAUGGGGGUGGUUUUCUUCGGUGCAUGUGUCCGUUAAACUGUUACUGAAGAAGGAACAGACUAGCAAAACAAUUAUCAAAUAGACAAGGGAGAGGAAUUUUUAGAAGUAAGUUAAUAGGCACUGCGGAGGCCCUGUCCUGAGCCUAGACACGUGGCAGCCCGGAAAGGGAGAGUUGGGCCUGGACCCCAGGCCCCGGACAACUGUCUUGGGACACGCCGCCACUAGGGCUCCAGAAGGGUCCAGGGAACAAUCCCGCUGAGGGCAGGGAGAAUCCCCCUCAGCGCGGGAUUGAGGUCAUACCGGGCAAGUCCUGAAACGUGCGGAGGUCGGACUCUUGAGCAGGUAUAAAUGGUAACGCACACCAACUACACAAGGUACGUUCACUAUUCGCCAAGUACUCCGGACUGCUUUACUUCCCGUGAACUCCACUCACCGAAAAACUAAUUUGACCGUCAGAGUGUCCUCAGGGAUGACCUCGGGGCUCCCCUGUUAGAUCACCCUCUUAUUUGUUUUGCAGGCUUGGGACACGCUCCUCUCAUCAGCACCCCGAGCUCAUCAGGUCAGCUCGGUCAGGGGAAGUUCAGCGCUUUUUCAGUUGGCGCCGUCUGUGGGAACGAAAGGUAAUCGAAGUUGUGUUGAUGGCGAGAACGCGUUCCAUGCAGACCGUGGAGAGCACCGGCCUUGGAGCCGGUGAGGGAUCCCGGCGAAUGGAGACCGGGGAGGAUCCGGGCGCCAGGGGCUCAGCCCUGUCAGGGGAACGGAGACAACAGAUUUUCCAGUUCGUGACAGAGAACCUCCUUAUGCUGGAAGACAUCAUCCGACAGGCGAAGGAGGGGGGCGAAGCCGGUGGCGCACAGACCUCCAAGGUGAAGGGAAAGGAAAAUGAACCACUUCCCGACCCCUUGAAGGAUGAGUCACGCGACCGGCCCCCCAGAAGGAAACGACCAUGGACUCCUCCUCGCCCCCGAGCCUCGGUGGUCGGGGACAGCGAAAGGUACUCCCGCGACAGGUCUGCGGGGAGUAGGCCGAGAGACCCCUCUCCGCGGAAACCUGUGCGGAACGAGCCUGAUCGCUCUCCCGACCGAUCUGUUAAGAGCCGGCCACAAAACCUUCCCCAGUGGAAGCCUGUCCGAGAUGAACUCGAGCAGAUCUUGCGGUCACAGUUGUACGAGGACAACUACAUAAUCUUGCCCUUUACCCGAGAACAAGGAUGGCCCGGCCAAGAAGAACGUCUUUGAUCGGCUCUCGAGGGAGAAAACCCCUGCUCCGCCACCGCUCCCGGAAAAAGGCUACAUCCCCCUGACUCGACCCAGGACCCAGAUCCUGGCUGUCAUGGAGGCGGAGGGCCUCCUGGGAGAUCGGCCGCCUAAGAUAGGGACACCUCGGAACAAAAGGAACCAGGACCGGUACUGCGCCUUUCAUCGUGACGUUGGACACGACAUGGAGGGGUGCUGGGCCCUUCGGAGGGAGAUCGAGGAUUUGAUCUAGCGCGAUUUUCUGGGACGAUUCGUGCGGCAAGGUCGUCCAGGCCAGGAGCCCGGGCGCACCUACCGUGGAGACAGGAGCGAGGGCCAGCGUCGCGACCGCCCUGAGCGACGCGACCUCCCUUUGGGAAGCACCCCCGACCGGGACAUCCAGAACCUAGCGGGGGUGAUAAACACCAUCGCGGGGGGUCCCACGGGGGGGGAUAGCCAUGCAGCUCGGAAAAACAGGCGACCUCCCCCCGAGGGGGAUGAUUCCCUGAAGCGCCUGGGCAUGGAUGAGGAGAUCACCUUCAGGCCAAGGGACGCGGUUCCCCUGGUGUCCGGGAACCACGAGACCAUCAUGAUAGACGUCGUCACCAAUAACUAUCGGGUGAAAAAGGUGUACGUCGACUAAGGAAGUGCGGUUGACAUUAUGUUUUAUCGAGUGUUUAAGGAGUUCGGCCUGGAGGACGGACAGCUGACCCCGGUCCGGACGCCCCUGAUGGGUUUCACCGGACCACCCAUUCACCCAGAGGGGAUGAUCACCCUGAUUGUCACGUUAGGGCAGGCCCCAAAAUGUCGGACCAUUCCAGUCAAUUUCGUGGUGGUCAAACAACAAUCCCCGUACAACGUGUUCUUAGGUCGGCCCGCCUUGAACGCUCUCCGGGCCAUUCCCUUUUCGCUUAACCUCAGCGUCAAGUUCCCUACCUCGGGAGGGAUAGUCGAGGUGCAUGGAGAUCCAGAAGUGGCUAGAACUUGCUACUUGGCCAUGCUUCGGGAACCUGAGAAGGUGGUCGCUCAGACGACUAGCUUGGAGCCCUACAUCUCGGGGGAGGAGGCCUGACAGCUGGGCACCCAGGACGAGGUCAAGGAGUUCCCCUUGAGGGAGGACAGGCCUGACCAGGUCCUCCGCAUCGGUGCGCUGCUACUUUCUGAGGAGAAGGAGAGGUUGAAGGCCUUUCUAAGGAAGUAUUCCCAGGUAUUCGCAUGGACAGUUGAAGACAUGCCCGGGGUUCCGACCGACUUGGCUGUCCAUCACCUCAACAUAGAUCCCCGCUUCAAGCCAGUAAAGCAGAAGAAGAGAAGCUUCGCCCCGGAGCGGAACGAGGUGAUCAAAAAGGAGAUCGGCAAGCUGCUGGAAUCCAAGAUCAUCAUGGAAGUACACUACCCGACCUGGUUAGCUAAUCCCGUCCUGGUGAAAAAGGAGGACCAAUCCUGGAGGAUGUGCGUGGACUUUACAGACCUCAAUAAGGCCUGCUCUAAGGACUGCUUCCCCUUGCCCAGGAUCGACAGGUUAGUAGACUCUACUGUGGGUUUUGACUUUUUGUGUUUCCUGGAUGCCUUCAAGGGAUACCACCAGAUAGAAAUGGCUGAGGAGGACCGGGAAAAGACCUCCUUCAUCACUGAGGAAGGGACUUAUUGCUACCGGACAAUGCCAUUUGGGCUAAAGAACGCUGGAGCUACCUAUCAGCGUUUGGUCAACAAGUUGUUUCAGAAGCAGAUCGGCAGGAGCAUGGAGGUCUACGUGGACGACAUGAUCGUCAAGAGUCGAACAGACCGGCAGCUCGCUCCCAACCUGAGGAAAAUCUUGAACAUUCUGUGGGAAAAUCGGAUGCGGCUGAACCCGAAAAAGUGUACCUUCGGGGUUAGGUUGGAAAAAUUCCUGGGCUUCUUAGUCUCUUGGGAGGGGAUCCGGGCCAACCCGGAUAAACUCCAGGCCAUCAUGGACAUGACCCCUUCGAGGAGCGUCAAGGAGGUCCAGCGGCUCACGGGAAGGAUGGCCGCCUUGAAUAGGUUCCUCUCGCGCUCCGCGGUAAGGGGGCUACCAUUCUUUCGAAUUCUGAAAGCACCCAAGGACUUUCAGUGGACCGAGAAAUGCCAGAAAGUCUUCACCGAUCUAAAGGCAUACCUGGCUGAGCUGCCUGCUCUGACCCCCCCAAAGCGGGGAGAAACCCUGUUCCUAUACUUGUCUGCCUGUAACGAGAUCAUUAGCGCGGUUCUGGUGCGGGAGGACAAGGGGGCUCAGAGGCCAAUAUACUACGUUAGCCGUGCCCUACAAGGGCCGGAAACGCGGUACACGCCGGCAGAAAAAUUGGUCCUGGCCUUGGUGCACGCCGCUCGGAAGCUCCGACCUUACUUCCAGACCCACAGCAUUGUUAUCAUGACGGAUCAACCCUUGCGUCAGAUACUUACAAAGCCUGAGGUCUCGGGCAGAAUGACCAAGUGGGCUGUCGAGCUGGUCGAGUACGACAUUGGCUAUCGGCCUCGCACUGCUAUCAAGGCUCAGGCCUUGGCAGACUUCCUUGCUGAGGGGGCUAGCUUGACCCUGACCGAGUCGAGCUCUUUGCCCACGGACAUACAGCCGGAAGAGUCAUGGGUGCUGUUCGUAGACGGAGCCUCGAGUAAGGAAGGAAGCGGAGCCGGCCUGCUACUCACCUCGCCCACCGGGGAAGAGCUGACCUACACGCUCAGAUUCGAUUUUCUGGCAUCCAAUAAUGAGGCUAAGUACGAGACCCUAUUGACAGGAUUGCGGAUAGCCCACCAGAUGGGUAUAACCGCGAUCAAAGUCCGGAGCGACUCUCAAAUUUGUAGUCCAACAAGUUCGCGGAGAGUACGAGGCCAAGGACGAGGUCAUGAAGAAAUACCUGGCUAAGGUACGAGAGGCAAUAACCCUGUUCGGUACUUGUCGCGCCCCAUUUUUUGAUAAAUAAAUAAAAUGGUUUAAAAAAAUGUAUUUUGUGAUUGGAAAAUGAAUCAUGAUUUAAAAGAAAAAUGGGUCUAAAUGGGGUUUUGAGAAUGUGACGAUUUGACCCAAAAUUAUAGUUUAAAAAGGGUUUUUUGAAAUAAAAAAUUGGAGUCGCCACUUGGUAAUGAGUUAAGCUGUACCAAGUCACCUAAAAAUGAAUUUUUAAAGAAAAAUAGAAAAAAGUAGUAAGAAACCCCUUUUAAACGACUCCUAGUCCACGUAAACCAACGAAAAAGGUUCGGGAGUCACAUUUGACGAAGGGGAAGGCAAGGAUAAAAAUCCAAGGCACCCCUUCAACCUAGCCAAGGCUAGUUGCGUGAUUUAAUCAAAGAUUUUCUUGUUUUAACCAAAGAAUUUAUUACAUUUGGAUGCACUACAUGAAUGCAAACCCUAGACCUAGGGGUAUUGGGGGAAAUUUCUCUUCAAAGGUUGAGUGGUGCCAAUCACAUUAAUUGUGAAGCCCAAUAACGAGCCUUUGAAGAGGUCACGAAUAAUGCGAGUGAGAUGCAAAUGAAUGGAAUGCAUGUAUGCAAUGUGAGAACAUGAGUUUGAAAAAGUAAUAAAAAACAAUAAAUAUGUAAAUGAAAAUGUGCACGUGAGUGGGCAAGGUACGGUAUGUGAAAUGAUAAUAUGAAGUGCAUGUGUGCAAGUGAUGAUAAAAGUGUUCGUGUGCAAGUGAAGGGAUAAAAGGUGUACGUGUGCAAAUGGGAGGAAAAGUGAAAGUGUAAUGAUAGAGUGGAUUUAGAAUGCAUGAGCCUAGGGAAUGCAUGCAUAUUGGGUACGGGGAGACCUAAAUCGUGACUCAAUUUACCCUUUUAUAGAGGGAAUACAAGCGUGCUAAGGCUUAGAAAAAGCCACACUCGUCUAUAUCCCAUACUUAAGGGAACUCUCAAGCAAAUGAACCCUAUAACUAGUAUGAAAUGCAAAAAUCCUAAAAUGGAGGGAAAAGGGGUUCGAGGGGCAUGCAAAAUGAUAAAAAAACUAAAAGAAUGCAUGACAUGUAAUGAACAUGCAAACAAUGCACGAAUGAAAAGGAAAUGGACCUAUUGGGUCUAGCGUUGGACUAGCCCUUUCUAUGAAUUUCUACUAGCAUUGGACUAGUGGAAACGGAACAAUGAACCACAACUAGCGUUGGACUAGUGUGGUGACGGGAAAGGGGGCCACAACUAGCAUUGGACUAGUGUGGUUACGUCCAUUCAUCCAUCACAUUCAUUCAUGACUAUAAAAAGCGAGUAGACAUGCGAAACACUCAUAAACACAUAGCACAUAACAUUUAGCAUGCUCGACUAGAUGCAAGGCCCUAACAAAGCAAAUUGACACUUAACACGUAGGCAUGCAACCAAACUAAUGAACCUAUUACAUUCACUAACUAAAACAAAAGGGGAAAGGGAAAAUGGAUCAAAUUGCUCGCCACAGCCCUAUCUAUUACAAGCCAAGAGGUGUACACAUACCCCAUUUAAAAGAAUAAUUUAAUAAAAGCAAGAAUGAAUGAAAUAAUGGAACUAAAGAAUGGUAAUGAAAGCAAAUUAGGCAUGCGAUUCACACUUAGCACAUUGGAUCACAUAGGAGAGACAAAAGGGAUAAAAGAAAUUAUACCUCCCUUGAAAUGAAGCUCUAAUGGAGUGAAAUCAACUUAUUUACCCUCCAAAAUAAUAAAGGAGUCAAGGUGCCAAUUUAUUUGACAAAUAAUCACAAAGGAUAAAAAUAAACAUGAAUUUGAAUCAAUUAAAUCAUGUCAACAACCCACAUUUAAGAAGUCAAGAGAAGAAAGGACUUGAUUGCAAAGAUUGGCAAAAUUUUGGGGCCAAAAUUAAAGAAAAAUAAAGUUCAGGGACUCAUUUGCAAUUAAACCAGGGACUCAAUUGAAAGGAAUGGAAAUGCCCAGGGCCACAGUACAGUUAUGGAAAAAUGCAGGGGGCUGAUUUGCAAAAUAAUUUUCUGGUUUCUUAAUGGACCAAACCAUUGGGCCAUUUUUCCUUAUUUACUUGGGCCAAAACCUUCCAGGCCCAAUCGGAAAUCCAAAACAAAAGGGAAUGGGCCAUUUUCACUUUCCUUGGGCCAAGAUCACUUGGCCCAAUCGGAAGUCCAAGGAAAAACAAGUGGGCUAGUAUAUUAUUUUGGCCCAAAAAUAGCCAACCAAAUAGAUGGGCCUUGACCCUCUAGCCCAAACCAAAAACCCUAAACAAAAUAAAUCAUACCCAUCCUUACAAACCCGAUCAGAUAUAAUUACCCAAAACCUAAACCAUAAUACUAAGCCCAAUCAACAUAAGCAAAUCAUCCAACAUUAUUAAGCCACAAUUAUGACCCACAAUCAAGAAUUAAUUUAUCCACAAAGUCACAUAAAAUAUGCAAACAGAGGAUUAAAGGAUGAAAUUAGUUCGAUUUUUCCAGAUUUUGAGCCACAAUGAAAUUUAGACAAAAAUUUAGGGGUUAAAUUGCAACAAAAAACAGGGACCCAAAUGAGAGAAAUUGAAAAUUUAUGGGGCCAUAGUGCAACAAAGGGAAACUUGGGGGGCAAAAAUGCAAUUUUCAUGAAGAUCCCAAGCAAACUUCAUACGGAAAGGCUUUCUACAACAAGAAAAUCUGCUGCAACUUUGUUUAUUUUGCGGAUUUCAGCCUUUAGACUCAACUUUCAAGUAAACUCCUCAAGUAAACAUCAAAGCUUCAAUCUAAAGAAUAAACCCAUUGAAACUUAACAUCUAACAUGCAAAAGGAAACUUGGGAUAGAAUCAUGAAGCUCCAGUAGCUUUCUCCUUUCUGGUUUCUUUUCACUACAACAUGCGGCAUUCACCCACCAAAUACAUCAUUCACAAACAUCAACACUCACAAAACACCACUCCCAAUCAUCUACUCAUUCAAAUACCACACUUUUAUUACAAGAUUAAAGUAGAAAAAAUGGACUAAUGACGGCCCGGGAUACAAGAAAUGACCGCAAAAGAAAGACACGAAGUGAAACACACAAUCUUUAACUUUUGUUUGAAAUGCCAAACCAAAAUAUUCAAGAAAAUAUGCUAAAGUUCAGACCCUGAAACAAACAAGAUGCCAGCAUGCUAUGAAUUAAACACUCGACAGAGCAAGAUCACAUGCAAAACAGGAAAUUCUUGUUCUUCCUACAACACUCUGUCUUCGACUUCAGCAUAGGUAGGAAGAUAGCCAUGAAUACAUUGCUGAAGUUCUCAAACUCCAACUCUUAAAGACAUUAGGUCCUAACCCAGAGAGUGAAUACUAAAACAUAGUCAACAUUUUAGGUUCCAACAAGAAAGCAAUCUUCUUUUCGGAUUUAACAUCAAUUAGCGUUUCCGUUCUUUUCAAUCAGCAAUACCAGAGACUUAGUUUCAAAUGCGGCAUUCCCAACAGACAACAAAAUUUACUCACGAAAACUCCCUUUUCAUAUAAUCUCAUGACAUAACUUGAAUUCACAUCAAAAAACAUCAAGCAAAACAGAAACAAAUGCCAAAUAAACGGAUGCCAAACAAACCAUCCGAAUCAACUAUCUUGACAAGCAUGGGCUGGCCGAACGUAUGCAAACAGGAAUCAAUCGUCCAUCAAACAAAAUUUUAAGUUAGGCAUUUUAACAAACAGCAAGUGGGCAUGAGAAAUUCCCGAAAUUCUCCUUUCAAAUGGUCUAACAAUCAGCCCCAAAAUUGUCAUAAAAAAAAACAAAGAAAUUCAGCCCAAUCAAUGUAUGCAUCGUGGGUAUUCAGAAAUUGAAGCCAAUUAACAGGAAAACUCCACUAAAACCAAGGCAGAUCCAUUUCAAAACUAGACAGGAACUGAAAUUUAAAGAGGGAAAAACCAAUAGCUUACCGUGCUCCUGCAUGAAAAUUGGUCGGUGAUGAUGGUGGAGCUUGAGGUGGAGGUGGCCCAGGCCUAGGUGGAGCAGUAGGAGCUGCUGUCCCAUUGGCUGCAGAAGCAAAUGGAGGUUUAUUUGCUUCAAGUGGCUUUGACUUGAAGUAUAGCUGGAGCGUAAACAUUUUAGAGUCUUGAUCUCAGUGUGAGAAGAACUUGGGAGUUGAUUUAUCAAUCGCCGUGCUAGGAACCUUUGUUUUGUCUCUGGAUCAAUUUGCUUUGUCACUCGAUAUCCAGACCUGCCAAUUUUAACGGAUUUUUAAGUGCAAUUUCACGCUUGUGAGGCUGGGGGUUGAGCAGGAGCCUCCUUGGCUUCGCGAGCGGCUCUUUUAGCCAAAUUAGUCUGGUGGCGUUUCCCUUGCGUGUGAGCCAAAUAGUUCCCCUCGUCGUUGUGUAGCAUCAAACACAGCUUGCACUCGUAGUUGCCCAGAUGAUUGCGCAUAAAAUAGGGAUCCUUUGCAAGGUCGAUAGUCUCGAGGGCAAGUCGUCGCAACCGUUCUCGCCGAUCAAUGGCCUCAUUCUGGGCAGAGGCAGCACUUCCGCUGCCUGGCUUCGAAUCCUGUUCUCUAUCCAUCGCCCCUUUGCACUGCCGGAGCGACCCUGUUUCUUUUGCUUUGUUUUCUUUGCUCUGUUUUCCUUGCCAAAGCUCCCCCCUUCCUUCCUUCCCCUGUUUUUCUUUUCCUUUGUUUUUCAGACCAAGUUCUCUCGAUCUUUUCUUUUUUUCCGUCCGCUGCCUGUUUCUUUGUUUUCUUCUCCUUGGCCUCAGACGACGCCCCCUCUGUUUUUUCAUUUUUCUCUGCCAUCAGCCUCCCCUGUUUUUUCCAUCCGCCGCCUUCUUUUUUUUCUCUGUUUUUCCUCCCCUUUUUGCUCUCAGCCCAAGCCUUGUUUUUUUUUGGCCGACCUCCUCCUUUUCUGUUUUUUGGUUUUGCUUUCUCUUUUUUUUAGUUUUUAGCCCUCACAAAAUUCUACUUUGACCCCCAAAAAUUCCUUAACUUCUCAAAUGUCCCUAACACCUCACCCCUUAGGUGCUGAGUUGUCUAAAACAUAGAAAAGACACUUGUCCAAGUGCAUGCAGUCACACUUGUCAUUUUCACUUUUUCUUUCUUUUUCCUUUUCUCUUUUUCUUUUGUUUUUCCUGGAAAUUAAUGUGAAGCCAAAAAUACACUAGAACAAAAAUAAAAUAAAUAACAAUAAUAAAAAUAAAAAUAAAAUAAUAAUAAUAAUAAUAAUAAUAAAAUAAUAAUAAUAAUAAGAAAUGAAAAACCAAAAAUUGAAACAAAUAAAGCUAAGAUGAAAUUAAUUUAAAAAAUCAAAAAUUUGGUGUCUACAGUACUUUUGAAAUCGAGCGGGUACCGAGAUCCCAAAACAAGCGCGCGGACGCCCUGUCGAAACUGGCGUCCUCCUCGUUUGCCCACCUGAACAACGAAGUCUUGGUAGAGGUAGUCAACCAAAAGAGCGUUGACCAGAUCCAGGUCUUGGCUAUAGACAGCUCGGCCACCUGAAUGACUCCUCUCGUGAACUUCCUUAGCUCGGGUGUCCUUCCAGGGGACAAAACGGAAGCUCGCCGACUCCAACUUCGAGUUGCUAAGUACGCCUACGCUAGGAGGGUCCUCUACAGGAGGUCGUACUUGUCUCCCUGGCUAAAAUGUGUGACUCCUGAGGAAGGUGACUAUAUCCUCCGUGAAGUUCACGAAGGCUUAUGUGCGGCACAUGUUGGCUCCCGGGUUUUGGCCAAAAAGUGCCUUCUCCUGGGCUACUAUUGGCCCUCAGUGUUCUAAGAUGCCGCGACACUGGUUCAGAAAUGCCGAGCUUGCCAGGUGCACGCCCCGGUGUGCCACCAGCCAGCUCGGGAAAUGGUUUCCAUCCAUAACCCUUGGCCCUUUGCUCAGUGGGAAAUGGAUCUUCUGGGUCUUUUCCCUCGAGUCCCGGGGAGAUACGAGCACCUCUUGGUGGCCAUUGACUACUUCACAAAGUGGAUGGAAGCGGAGCCCCUGGCUACCAUCUCGGGAAAGGCAGUUCAGAGGUUCUUCUGAAAAAACAUAGUCUGCCGCUUCGUGAUUCCGUAUGUCUUGAUAUCCGACAAUGGUCGCCAGUUCGCCGAAAACUCCUUCAAAAGCUGGUGCGCCGAGCUCUGGAUCAGCCAACACUUCACAUCGGUCGGCCACCCCCAGGCCAACGGUCAGGUGGAAAACGCUAAGCGAACCAUUCUGCAAGGACUAAAAACUAGGUUAGAACUAGCCCAGUCUAACUGGCUAGAGGAACUCCCUAGUGUCCUCUGGACUUACCGCACUAUGCCGAGGACGGCCACCCACGAGACUCCGUUCUCCCUGACUUACGGGGUAGAGGCGGUGGUGCCCGCAGAGAUCGGUCUCCCCUCGCCUCGGACACAGAACUUCGUUGCAUCAGCUAACAAAGAGGAGCUGAGGUGUAAGUUGGACAUGCUGGAGGCCAAGCGUGAGGAAGCGGCGAUACGGAUGGUUAAGUACAAAAGCCAGCUCGCCCGCUACCAUAACGCCAAAGUGAGGAACAUACAGUACCAUCCGGGAGACCCCGUCUUAAAAAAGAACUCGAUCAGCAGAGCUCAUAGCUCCAACAAACUCGACCCGAAUUGGGAGGGACCAUACAAGGUCCUGGAAGCGAGCCGAGCUGGUUACUGCAAGCUCGCGAAGUUGGAUGGAGCAGAGGUCCCCCGCACUUGGCACUUCUCGAAUCUCCGAUUGUUUGUAGCGUAGAUUAGGCCGGGAUAUCUUACUGUCUGUUCUUCGGAAUCCACAUACAAGUUCAUCAUUAAAUAGAUGUUCGACUUUCAAAUUUUAAAUCCACCUCCUGUCAAUGCCGUUUAAAUUUUUAAGUUUAAAUUCUGCACUAGCACACUCAGACAAUGCUAAGUGUCCUAGUGGGGGGGGCUGGGGAUAGAUGGUAAUGGAUGGGGUGCCUUUAAAGUCUUGAAAUUUGAGAGUGGAUGCUCGUCCCAAGAGGUCGGCACGGCUUGAAACUUUUAGGUAUGCUCGACCCAGGAGGUCGGCACGACGGGGAGCCGUUUAAUGAAGUUUGUUGAUACCUUAGCCUGAUGGUCUUUGAUAAUUUAGUGGUUUGCUUACAAGUAUAACAGAUGCUUGGCCCGAGAGGCCGGCAUGCUGCCUUGGUGGAUUUAUUUGGUGCUCGACUCGGGAGGUCGGCACAGGGCUUUGAUGGCUAGAGUUUGGCGCAGGCCAGACUUGUCAGAUAAUUUUCUUCGAGUUUUAUAUAUGCAUUCAAAUUCUAUCUAUUACAAAUCCUAUCUAUUACAAAGCCUGCCGAGCUAUAGAAGGAAGAUGGAAAGGGUUUUUGGAGUGGUCGCUACCCUUAGGCGGACAAACAUCUAGCAGAUGACUGCUGACAUGAGGAAAACACGGCAACAGGUCUUACGCACUGGGGGAGCUAGUGAUGCUAGAUAUCCGCGCCUUUCACACUGGGGAAAGAUAUGCUUUCUCUCUAUCCCAGAUAUGAAAGUCUGGCUAUGUACAGCUCAUUUCCCUCGGCACCCCUAAGCCACCGGUUCCUUCCCGGAGCCCUGCCGGGAGCCUCGUCCUCCUACAAGGGAACCUCCGCCAGAUUGGCUCCCACAUCAUCUCUGCCCACCAGGUCCUUCAGGGCAUGCCCCUUGCAAUACCCAUCGAAAAGCCAGUCCAGCUUCUCCUCAGAGGCGGGGUUGUAGUUUUUAAAAUCCGCCAAGUUGAAGCUAGACAAGUUGAGGCCCUUCACCUGGUCCAGGGCCCGCGUGAAGCCGACCUGGAGGAUGGGCUGGUUGAGGAGGGCGACGUCCUCGGCAAACUGCUGGGAGGAAAUGAACUCCCGAACAGCCUUCUUCCGUUCCCGGCUGACGGUGCCGGAGAGCUCGAUGGCGUGGUCCUCCCUCAGCUUUGCCACGCCCGCCUUCUCCUGGUCGAGCUCCGACCUGGUGGAGGCAAGCUGGAUCUGGGCUGUCUCCAGCUCCUUCUCAGCCUUGCCCAAUUUGGCCUUGAGAGAGUCCGCCUCCUUAAGGGCCUGGGUAAGCCUCUGCUCCGUAUCUCGGUUCUUCUUUUGCAAUUUCUCCAAGUCGGGAGACAGAUUGGAGAAGCGGGUUACCAGGGCAGCACCAGCGGCGUUGGCCUGAGGAAAAGGGAAAAGAGGUCAGCACACGGCGUGACUCAGCGAAAAAGCGGAGGCACAACUGGACCAAGGGGUAAGGAAUUUACCUGAGCUUGGGCGGUGAAGUACAUAUCCUGGAGCUCGGAGGGACUGGCAAGUUCCAUCCACCUCCUGUCGCGUGGAAGGACCGAGCCCGUUACCAACUCUCGAGCCACCUCGGGGAACUGGACUCGGUCGUUGAUGGACAGCCCUCAGGAGGGACAGAAGCGGCGGGGGUCGUGUAUGGAAGGGGCCUGGCCCGGCUUCAAGGGGGCGAUGUGGCGGAAGUGCCACAGGCUAGGGGGCGGCAUCUCCCGCGCGUGCUCCUCCGAUGAGCCGACCCCCAAAUGGACCGAGCCCACAUGAGGGGCUCCCCCCGACGUCAGCAGGGGAGGGGGCUGGGCUGAGGUGAGCGCAAGCCUCUUCUCGGGCUGGGAGGCUUCGUCCCCUCGGCCCCUCUUCUGCCCAGCCGCUUUCUUCUUACUGGCGGCCUGCUUGGAGGGGGAGGAGUGGGAUGCUUCCUUCUGGGGGCUCGAGCUGCCCCCGGGAUUCGGAACUGCCUCAGAGGCCUUCUUGGCGGCCUCCGGCUGUGGAGUCGGGGCAACCGGCUCGGAGGGCGCGCCUAGCAAUUUUGAAAGCCUUCUCACUGCAGCAAAUACCGCCAGAUCAGCUAAAACAGGUCAGUAUGAAAAGAUAUAAUACAUAUAUGUAAAUACAACGAGCUGCAGGGACAGAGUCGGCGUUACAGGUUUCGAGGUCGGCAGGGGAGGCCACCACCUCUCCAGGGGACCCGGACAACGUCCCCAUCAGCCCGGCCGCAGAGACCUGCUCGGUGGAGAACUUGGCGGCAUAGAGCUUCACCUUGGAGCUCACCAGUUGGCCGAGGGUUUCGGGGUCCAGAUCCUCCGGGUAAGGGUCGGAGUCGACCUCCCCGACUUUCCACACGUUCGGGGGAAAGUUCGUGGAUUUUACAAAGAAAAAGUCCCCCUUCCAGUUCUUUAUGGAAGACGGGACCCCGAAGAGAAGAUCCUGGGUGCCCUUCCCCCCGACCUUUGUUAGCGGUUCGGCGGGAGAAAUAGUACCACCCAGGAAGGGAGAGUUUGAGGGUGUAAGAGGCUCGGAAGAGGGAGAGAGAAUAGGGGAUGGCGCAGAUCUGACAAUAGAUCAGGAAUCCAAUAAUAAUUCUGAUCGAUUUGGGGUGGACCUGGGUGAUCCGGAACCCCCAGUAGCUCAGGAUCUCAACCAGGGCUGGAGGAAUUGGGAGACGGAGCCCUGCGACCAGUUGCUCCUUAUAGAUGGCUACGAAGUCAGGGGGAGGUCGGCAAGCUCGGUCGUCGGGCCCGGCGGCCCUCGGCUCGAAGGCCGGAGGAAUGGAAUAAGAUUCGGCCAGGUCGGCCAAUGCUCCGGACGAGAGGGUGACCUCCUGCUGGUCGGAGUGAUCGUAGGUGAAUACAGGAUCAUCCCCCUGCUCAGAGGCAGGGGUCCCCUCGGAGGAAUUCCUAUCCUCGCCUGCCCCUCCCUAGACUCCGCCAGGGGAGUCAUGCGGGAAAUUAGGGGAGGGUACGGAUGUGGCCUGCCGCUCGAUGAGGGUAUCGAUUUCGGCCACCUCCUCCAGCAUUCGGGCAGAAGGAGAAUGGGCAGAUGGGGAACUCAUAAUAUCAAUGGGCUCGAGCAAGUCAGGAAUGGGGAAGUGAGAAUUGGAAGCAGAGGAAGAAGAAAGAGGGGGGAGAAGAUGAAGAUGAAGGUGAUGAUGAGGAUGAAGACGAGGAGGAAAUGAGGAUCCUAAGGGUUCUACGAGAUGUGGGGGAGGUCACGCCGGACUGAUCCGACAUAAAAAGCAGAAGGAGGCAAGAUAAUGCGGAAGAAGAAGAAAAAGGACUUACUGAUGACUGGAAAGAUGGGAGAAUCGCCGGAAUCUGGGCACUGGAAGCCGGAAGCCUUGUUACUGGGAAUUGAAAACGCACGAAGGAAGGAGCAAAUGGCAAAUAGAGUCGGGUGAAAUCUGAUGACCCUUAUUUAUAGGGGGAGAAAUGGGGGGAAAACGGUUGUUUGAAAUUGAACCAUCCCCAUGUGAACGCAUUUAAGAACGGUACGGAAACCGAAGGGACGCGACAACUAAAAGGACAAGGGCGCUGCUUUUCAGUGACAGCACUGUGCCAGAGGUGACCCUGGCAGAGUGAUGCGCGGUGCUGGUCUUCCACGUGGCAGAGGUGUAGAUUAGGUCUGCCUGGAAGCUCAACCUAAUCUAGGGGGCUAGUGCGGAGGCCCCGUCCUGGACCUAGACACGUGGCAGCCCGGAAAGGGAGAGCUGGGCCUGGACCCCAGGCCCCGGACAACCGUCCUGGGACACGCUGCCACUAGGGCUCCGGAAGGGUCCAGGGAACAAUCCCGCUGAGGGCGGGGAGAAUCCCCCUCAGCGCGGGAUUGAGGUCAUACCGGGCAAGUCCCGAAACGUGCGGAGGUCGGACUCUUGAGCAGGUAUAAACGGUAACGCACACCAACUACACAAGGUACGUUCGCUAUUCGCCAAGUACUCCAGACUGCUUUACUUCCCGUGAACUCCACUCACCGGAAAACUAAUUUGACCGUCGGAGUGCUCUCGGGGACGACCUCGGGGCUCCCCUGUUAGAUCACCCUCUUGUUUGUUUUGCAGGCUUGGGACACGCUCCUCUUAUCAGCAUCCCGAACUCAUCAGGUCAGUUCGGUCAAGGGAAGCUCAGCGCUUCUUCAGGCACCAUUCACCAAUUUGCGUUUUUGGCCACCGCUUACGUUCCAUAGAAUUCUCAUAGAAGAUAUUGGACAAAGAUCUGCUCUCAUAGAAGAAUAACAUCAAGGUCAGUGCAAAGCUUUUGAUAAACUAUACGUCGUUAUUUUAAAUAACUUUUUACUUUGCAUUACAAACACAAAUUUUAAUCACAAUUUUAUCUCACAUAUAUAACAGUUCAAAAAGUAUUACUCCCUCUAUCUCAUUGAAAGUGUUAUACUUUCUAUUUUAGAAUGUCCGAAAACAAUUAUCAUGUUAGAAAAGUCAAAGUAUCUUUUAGACUCUCUUUCCAAUAUAACCCUUCUUUUUAAUCAUAUGAAUGUCACCAUUCAAAUUUAAAAUUUGAAUUUGUGGGGGUAAAUUGAAAAGAGACGCACAAAUAUCACAAUCAAAUCACUAUUUUUAAAAAGUUAGAUUCCUCAACUGUAACCAAAUAAAUGGGACGGAGUGAAUGUAUAAUUAUUUUAAAUAAUCUCCUAUCCAAACUCACAAAUCAAUCUCGCAAAACUAAGAUAUGAUGCCCACCAAAGCACAAAUUCUUUAGAGUAGCAGGUGUGUGGGCUUGGAGGUUGAACAUAGCCAUGGCCUCAUCCAGAAGAAACAGGUAACAAUUGAGAUCAUUGGAGGAAAAAUUACUUCUUUCAAAACGGUCGAAAUUACAAGACCAAUCUCAAUCAGACCAAAUUGUCCGUCCAACAUGUUGGCAGGAUAAAAUUCAGUAUUGGAUUUAAUUUGUUUAAUUCCAUUUUGGAAAUACCAGUAGUAUUUUUUCCCAAUUCAUGUGACUUUAUAAAAUGCUUUAGUAAGAACUUUUUUUUUCUCUUAUUUUAAUGUAAAAGGUUAGUACAUAAAGUAAUACUAGUCAAUUCACAUAAUCUAUACAGAAAAAACAUACAUAAAUUGCACAUGAAAGUACUAUUCUCUUCAUUAGAUUAAUUUGAUUGCUAGAAGAAAAAUUUUCCAUUCAUUGGAUGCGGUUCCAGGUAAUUAAUUAUAUACUUUAUAUAUCAAAAAUCUAAAUGUGUUUAUAUAUAGUAUUCUUUUUUCUUUGCCACAAAGAUAAUAUUCUUAUAACCUAAUUUAUCCUAUUCUACAGGAAGGAGGAGUCUAAAGAGAUUGUAUGAUGAGCUAGCAGGUAUACAGAUUCGAUUAGACCAAAGGGGUGUUUUGACAUUUCUUUUGAAUUUUUUUCACUGCAGAUAAAAUUUGAAUCCCCGAUCUACAGUGAAAAGUCAAAAGAGAGAGUUAAUUUCUUUUUAGUGGCCACAGAGCUAAAGCUGGGUGGUUGUUUAUAUAUAGUAUUCAGCUGGUUGAUUUGCGCAACUCACAUUAUUAUGUGUUCCUUGCAUUCCAUCAUUUUUGUGCUCGUCCGCAAGUUGUGAUCUGCUAACUAAGUUCUCUUUUUUGGUACAUGGGAUCCUUGGUGUCAUUUUUCAGUGGCAAUUCAGUAUCACUUUUAUAUUUAUGUCAAAUAUUUUGUUUAUUUAAGUUAUCACGUGCUCUUUAAUAAUUCAAAUUAAUUUAUUUUAACUCAAGUUUUCUUUACUCUCACGUAAUAAGUGGAAUUGACACUAGUGUUGAUACCGAGCAACAAUGUUUUAAAAAUCGGACCGUUAAUUGAACCGAUAAAGUGAAAGGGUCGAGAUUCAACCAGUCGGACUGGUUUAACCUCGGUUCAAAAAAUUUUUUAACAAAUAAUUUAUAUAAAUAUAUAUAUGUGCACAAAAUAAGAUAUGUAAUGGACUAAUUUAAUACUUUAUAUGAUGAAAAGUUUACUAUUUUUUAAUAACUUAGAUUUUUAAAAAUAAUUUUUUUAAAUUAUAAGUUAAAACAAAUAAAUUUCAUUUCAAUUUCAAUUAUAUCUAAAUCCAACCCAAAAAUAUCACAAUAUUUUGAAAUUAUACAAAAUUUACUUCUAUGAGAAUUUAGACAUUGUGAACUUAAAUUUUAAUUUACGUUUUGGGAUUUAGAGAUUGCAAUUUAAAAAAGGAAAUUUUGAAUUCGAAGGAAGUCAAGAGAAUCGAAAAUAGAAAUGUAAACUUGAUAAUAAACAAAAAAUGAGAUAAAAGUGAGUGGUUGUGGCAUUAAAUAAUUUGGGUUAAAGAAAAAUAAUUCUUUUUUAACUUUUUUCAAUUUAAUGGACAAAAACAAAAUUAAAAGAUGGAAGAAAACAUCAAUAAAUUAAAAAUAAAGAGGUUUGAUUAAAAAGGGAGUGAUAAAAGAAAAGAGAAUAGAGAGAGAGAGAGAGUUGAAAAUUAAAAAGAAAGAGCCAUGAGAGAAUGAGAUUUUGUAAGAAAAAUGAAAAAAAUAUGAAUGUUUGUUUUAUAUAAAUAAGUUAUAAAAAAAAACUAAUAAAUGUGAUGGUGCAACGGUUAAUACAUUGGUUUUCUAUUACAAAGGUCUUGAGUUCGAAUCUUGAUAGUUGCAUUUUGCAAAACUAAAAAAAAAAAAAGGGAAAGUUGAAAACCGGAAAACCGCCGGUUCACUGUUUAACCGGGUUUUUGAUCGGUUUUUUGCCAAAGUCAACAAUGCCAUAGAAUCGGACCGGUGUCAUGGUCGGUUCACGGUUCAACCGAUCGAAUCGGCUGGUCCGGUCCGAUUUUCAAAACAUUGCCGGGCAAUGACAUUGAGAAUCCCAAUUGCUUUUUUGGUGUGCCAUUUUAAUCAAUUGUUAUGAACGUUUAAAUGGUUGAGGUAAUAGUAGUACGAUUUUUCCAACUCAGAUUCAAAACCAACUAUAACGAAAACAAUCCAAGUUUAUAGUUGAACUUUUGAAAUUGUCGAUGUUUAGAGAGAGUAGAAAUAGCAAAAACUUGGGUAGACUUGAUAUUUGCUCCACUCGUAGAAUGACUGACCCAGAAUUUUCAUGUUAUCUAGCUCAACUCAAGUAUAAUUCUCAAACUAAAACCAAUACUUCUGGCUCUUUAGAAAAAUGAUAUAACCUCCGAACGAGUUAUUUGGAUCCUUACACAUGAUAUAUACACUCAAGUUGAGGAUAUAUACUUAGUUUAAAAACUCUAUUUCACACGUGCUACUUUUGUCUUGCAACUAAGGAUGAUAAUCAUGUUAGUAAUAGAAUUAGUGACUAUACUUUAGGUAUUUUAUAUGAUGAGAAAUGGAUUAAUCCACUGUACUAAAAUGCACUUGUUGUAUAGAAAUGAGGUGCCUUUGUGAUCAAUACAAGUUUCUUAUUAUUUCAACAAAAAAAAAA